AUUACACACUGUGCUGUACGAUUGAGACAAGGAAACUUGGGAUGACUUUUCAUAGGUUUCCCAGAGACUAUGGGUUGAGGAGGAAUUGGAAGUUUGUCGGCUUAGACCUGGUGUCAUUCCAUCAGUGUUAAACUUCCCGGCUCAUCUUGGAAGAGUACGUGCCAGAAAGACCACGACCAAGCAGCCUUGAGAUCUUAGACAGCGUCUCCCUCAGGUCCCUCUCUAUCUCCCCACACAUCCACCAACCACUGGAACACAUCUCCAAAGUUCUGCCGGGCCAGCUCAGCUUCCCCUCAGAAGAAGUGCUGCCACCUGCCAGAUGAAGGAGCCUUUUGAGAGGCAGCUGGCAUCGUGACUGGACUGUACUUUGGUCUGUUCCAAUCCAGCUUCAGCUCCAGAGACGGCAGGCGGGACGAGUCAACGGAGGCCGGAUGGACGAAGGCAUGAAGCUGAGUACAAUCCAGAAAACAACAGAGGAGGAGUGCAGCAGCCCAGAGCCAGAACAACCAGAGUAGCAUCGUAUGUCUCUUAGAAAACAUCAUAGUAGAGUCUUUGCUAUGAAAAAACGCCAUCAUAUACAUCAUAUAUUGUACAAAUAACAAGUCAAAGGAAAGAGACAUACAUUGUAGAAUUGUAGUAAUUGUGG
ensembl:lncRNA